CCCUUAGAUGUUCUGGGCUGCACACGCGCUACACUGGCAGGUUCAGCGAGCUUCUUGCCCUGAUCUGAGAAGAAUGGGAAACCUUUUCAACACCUGCCGUGCUUGGGAUAGAUGUUUGCAAUUAUUCAUCUUCAACAAGGAUUGCCUUGUAGGCGUGCCUCAUCAGGGCACGUCGAAUACGACCCUGUAUUCUGUACACACCGCCCGUCGCUCCUACCGAUUGAAGUUUUCGGUGAAUUUGCAGGAGGUUUGCUUUGAAACUGGUUCGCCAGUGGAUUUGUGGACCAAAUGCAUGUGAAUCGAUGGCUUUAGAGGAAGGAGAAGUCGUAACA
rnacentral:rRNA from 1 species